rnacentral:lncRNA from 1 species
GCCGCCACCGCCUCAGGGAAGAGGAAGGAGGCCGCGGCUUCGCGUCCCGCCUCUCGCCUGGCUGGCCGUGGGGGGCCUGGACGCAGUGGCCUCCCGAAUCUCCCAGGACCCUAAUAUCGCCCGAGGAUGCUGGGAGGAACGCUGAGCCGACCUCUCCGUUAGGCUGAAGAUUGCACAAACCAUGCUAAUGGCCAGCAUGGAUGGAGGGAGCGUGUGAGAUGUGUGGGGCAGCGUGCUGCAUCUCAGCCAACUCCAGGAGCCAGUUGAUGUGAUGGACUACCUUAAUUGAUUUUUGAAUGUUGAGCCAGCCUUAUGCAUGUGGGAUAAACCCCUGUUGAUCAUGGCUGGCUGGAGUGCAGUGGUGCAAUCAUGGCUCACUGCAACCUCAAAUUCCUGGGCUCAAGGGAUCCUCCUGCCUCAGCCUCCCAAGUAGCUAGGACUACAGGAAGCAUGCUCAUGGCAAUACCCGGAGUCUCCACUGCAAGACCAGAGUGACGGAGGCAGCAGAGCUCCUCAGCAGGCCAGGAGUCUCCAGAGGCACUGCCGAAUGUCUAAGAAGCAACCUCAUUGUAUUCCCAAGACCUGGGAAUCCAGGUCUCGCAGAUACGAUGAUACAAUCUAUAGCCAGGACAUCU